AACGAACGCUGGCGGCAGGCCUAACACAUGCAAGUCGAGCGCACCUUCGGGUGAGCGGCGGACGGGUUAGUAACGCGUGGGAAUAUGCCCAAAGGUACGGAAUAGCCUCUGGAAACGGAGAGUAAUACCGUAUGUGCCCUUCGGGGGAAAGAUUUAUCGCCUUUGGAUUAGCCCGCGUUGGAUUAGGUAGUUGGUGGGGUAAAAGCCUACCAAGCCGACGAUCCAUAGCUGGUUUGAGAGGAUGAUCAGCAACACUGGGACUGAGACACGGCCCAGACUCCUACGGGAGGCAGCAGUGGGGAAUCUUAGACAAUGGGGGAAACCCUGAUCUAGCCAUGCCGCGUGAGUGAAGAAGGCCCUAGGGUCGUAAAGCUCUUUCGCCAGGGAAGAUAAUGACGGUACCUGGUAAAGAAACCCCGGCUAACUCCGUGCCAGCCGCCGCCGUAAGAC
rnacentral:rRNA from 1 species